UUGAUUCAUUCCCCCCAACAGAGUUUGUGGAUAUUCCCCAGUUGAGUUUGUAUAUUCCUCAGCAGGUUUGAUGUUAUUUUUAAUCUCCUGCAGAGUAAGAGUGGCUUCCUUAGUAGAUUGCGUUGGUUUCUCCAACAAUCGCCAUCCAGCUUGAUCCCCAGUUAGAGUUUCCUCCUGGUUCCUGAGUAGCUAUUUGCGUUUAUCCUCUGUACAGUUG
rnacentral:lncRNA from 1 species